AAAUAGAUACCCCGGUAGUCCACGCCGUAAACGAUGAGUGCUAAGUGUUGGAGGGUUUCCGCCCUUCAGUGCUGCAGCUAACGCAUUAAGCACUCCGCCUGGGGAGUACGGUCGCAAGACUGAAACUCAAAGGAAUUGACGGGGGCCCGCACAAGCGGUGGAGCAUGUGGUUUAAUUCGAAGCAACGCGAAGAACCUUACCAGGUCUUGACAUCUCCUGACCGCCCUGGAGACAGGGUCUUCCCUUCGGGGACAGGAUGACAGGUGGUGCAUGGUUGUCGUCAGCUCGUGUCGUGAGAUGUUGGGUUAAGUCCCGCAACGAGCGCAACCCUUGGUUCUAGUUGCCAGCAUUCAGUUGGGCACUCUAGAGCGACUGCCGGCGACAAGUCGGAGGAAGGUGGGGAUGACGUCAAAUCAUCAUGCCCCUUAUGACCUGGGCUACACACGUGCUACAAUGGAUGGUACAAAGGGCAGCGAAGCGGCGACGCAUGAGCGAAUCCCAGAAAACCAUUCUCAGUUCGG
rnacentral:rRNA from 1 species